rnacentral:rRNA from 1 species
GGUCUUGCCUGCCCAGUGACUAGUUAAACGGCCGCGGUAUUUUGACCGUGCGAAGGUAGCGCAAUCACUUGUCUUUUAAAUGAAGACCUGUAUGAAUGGUGGAACGAGGGCUUAACUGUCUCCCUUUUCAAGUCAAUGAAAUUGAUCUGCCCGUGCAGAAGCGGACAUGUCUAUACAAGACGAGAAGACCCUUUCGAGCUUAGAUGUAAGACCAACUACGUUAAGAAUAGCCUAAACCAAUUAAACUAAGUAGCAACUGGUCCCUAUCUUCGGUUGGGGCGACCACGGGAGAAAAUUAAGCUCCCACGUGGACUGGGGCCACCCCUAAAACUAAGAGAGACAUCUCUAAGUCACAGAAUUUCUGACCAAAAAGAUCCGGCCAUCGGCCGAUCAACGGACCAAGUUACCCUAGGGAUAACAGCGCAAUCCCCUUCCAGAGUCCAUAUCGACAAGGGGGUUUACGACCUCGAUGUUGGAUCAGGACAUCCUAAUGGUGCAGCCGCUAUUAAGGGUUCGUUUGUUCAACGAUUAAAGUCCUACGUGAUCUGAG